UACGAAGGGGGCUAGCGUUGCUCGGAAUCACUGGGCGUAAAGCGCACGUAGGCGGAUUGCCAAGUCGGGGGUGAAAUCCUGGAGCUCAACUCCAGAACUGCCUUCGAUACUGGCGAUCUUGGAGUCCGGGAGAGGUGAGUGGAACUGCGAGUGUAGAGGUGAAAUGCGUAGAUAUUCGCAAGAACACCAGUGGCGAAGGCGGCUCACUGGCCCGGUACUGACGCUGAGGGACGAAAGCUAGGGGAGCAAACAGG
rnacentral:rRNA from 1 species